AACGAACGCUGGCGGCAUGCCUAACACAUGCCAGUCGAACGAGACCUUCGGGUCUAGUGGCGCACGGGUGCGUAACGCGUGGGAACCUGCCCUUAGGUUCGGAAUAACUCCCCGAAAGGGGUGCUAAUACCGCAUAAUGUCUUCGGACCAAAGAUGUGGCGCCUCGGGAUGGGCCCGCGUUGGAUUAGCUUGUUGGUAGGGUAGAAGCCUACAAAGGCGAGGAUGGGUAGCUGGUCUGAGAGGAUGAUCGGACACAUUGGGACUGAGACACGGCCCAGACUCCUACGGGAGGCAGCAGUGGGGAAUAUUGAAAAAUGGGAGGAAGCCGGAUGCAGCAACGCCGCGUGCGGGAUGACGGCCUUCGGGUGGUAAACAGCUUUCGCCUGUGACGAAGCGUGAGUGACGGUAAUGGGUAAAGAAGCACCGGCUAACUACGUG
rnacentral:rRNA from 1 species